GAGCGGAGAAUGGGUGCACGUAAUGCCUAGGGAUCUGCCCAGUCGAGGGGGAUAACAGUUGGAAACGACUGCUAAUACCGCAUACGCCCUACGGGGGAAAGGAGGGGACCUUCGGGCCUUCCGCGACAGGAUGAACCUAGGUGGGAUUAGCUAGUUGGUGAGGUAAUGGCUCACCAAGGCGACGAUCCCUAGCUGUUCUGAGAGGAUGAUCAGCCACACUGGGACUGAGACACGGCCCACACUCCUACGGGAGGCAGCAGUGGGGAAUAUUGCACAAUGGGGGAAACCCUGAUGCAGCCAUGCCGCGUGUGUGAAGAAGGCCUUCGGGUUGUAAAGCACUUUCAGUAGGGAGGAAAGGUAGCGUGUUAAUAGCCCGUUACUGUGACGUUACCUACAGAAGAAGGACCGGCUAACUCCGUGCCAUUCAGCCGCGGUAAUACAGGAGGGGCCGAUCGUUAAUCAGAAUUACUGGGCGUAAAGCGUGCGCAGGCGGUUUGU
rnacentral:rRNA from 1 species